CCUACGGGUGGCAGCAGUGAGGAAUAUUGGUCAAUGGGCGCGAGCCUGAACCAGCCAAGUAGCGUGAAGGAUGACUGCCCUACGGGUUGUAAACUUCUUUUAUAAAGGAAUAAAGUGAUUCACGUGUGCCUUUUUGUAUGUACUUUAUGCAUAAGGAUCGGCUAACUCCGUGCCAGCAGCCGCGGUAAUACGGAGGAUCCGAGCGUUAUCCGGAUUUAUUGGGUUUAAAGGGAGCGUAGGUGGGUUGUUAAGUCAGUUGUGAAAGUUUGCGGCUCAACCGUAAAAUUGCAAUUGAUACUGGCAGUCUUGAGUACAGUAGAGGUAGGCGGAAUUCGUGGUGUAGCGGUGAAAUGCUUAGAUAUCACGAAGAACUCCGAUUGCGAAGGCAGCCUACUAGACUGCAACUGACAUUGAUGCUCGAAAGUGUGGGUAUCAAACAGGAUUAGAUACCCGAGUAGUC
rnacentral:rRNA from 1 species